ACAACCAAGCUGUGGUGCAAUACGAAUGUUUAUUUAUUAUUUUUUACACGAACCACGCGAGCUGAUGAGUUCCAUUUAAACUGCGUCAUUAAUUUUAAUGACGCAGGAGACAUCCAUGUAAAAUGUGUUACAAAACAAGUUCAUACUGGCCUGGAUGUUCGCCACACCUUAAUUUUGUGGUGAACCAGUCAGAGCCGACAACCUGCUGCGUCACAAACUCGAAGUGAAUAAAUAAGAGGUGCUCCCUAAAAGUUUUCAUCAGGACUCAGACACUUUUCACUGUCGAACACUAAGAAUCACUGACAUCAACAUGGACGCCCCAGCCAAAGCCGCCGCAGCUACCGCAGCCGCCGCCAAAGCCGCCGCCGAAGCCACCGCCGCCGCUGCUGCCAAAGCAGCAGCCGCCACCAAAGCUGGCCGUUAAUGAUCGUGGUCGUCUUGAUGUGGGAUCAUGUGAACAUCUGAGCAGCGAGAUGUUACCAAUCUGCUGAAUAAACCUGAGAAGCUGUUUUUUGAAAACCAAGUGUCCUGUUCAUUUCAUCUCUGAAACUCCUUCACAGUUUCUGUAGAUCAUGUUUUUAACACAUAAACCUCCAGAAAUCAUGAUGCGUCACGUUUGCAUUUGGGUCAGAAUAAAUACAUAAGAUAUGA